CGCCUAUACACAAAAGCAAAAAUGUCCGUUUAUACAAAUAUACGGCGUUUCGGUUUUGUUGGCGGGGGGUGCGUGUGUGGAUAACGGCUCACAUAACGUGUCGCGAUGGAUGACUUGGCUUCCUAUUUCGUUGAAGAACGCAGUAAAGUGCGAUAAGUGGUAUCAU
rnacentral:rRNA from 1 species